UAUGUUGUACUGUUGUUUUACAUACAGUUAGUAUUACUAGUUUGACGGCUCUAACUCUGCUAGAAGGUUUACAAGUUUCCCUCAUCACCAUUUUAAACCGAGUGGAAAUAAAAUAAUAAUAAUACAAGUAAACUGCUUGAGGUGAGAUGGAUUGAUAUUGAAAUGUAGUAUAAAUACUGUUUCGGGUAUGCUGGAGUGCGAUACAUCAGCGUGCAUGUACUUUAUGGAUGGCGCCGUCAUGUAUAAUGUACAUGCACGCUUCAGACGCUUUGUAUGGACUUAACGUUGUUAUUAAGCUUUAUUAUUAUGAUGAUUUUUAUUGAUUUAUUAUGAAGCUCGCGUUCGCAAGGUAUUCGCUGUCCUUACAUGUAUAGUCUCUCAUUUAUGAUUAAUGUUAACACAUUACGUUAGUUUAACCAAACACGUCUUUAGUGAUGUGCCUAAACACUUAUUUUAACGUAUCGCGUCGACCAGCUUACCCAGUAAAGAAGUCGUCUGUUUACUUUUAUGUGAGCCAGUUUGUUAUUUCUCUUUGUCUUUUGUAGGAUGGGGUACAGCUGAACAACAAUUAUGACAGGUUUUGAAUAAACCAGUCACAUGAAAAACAUUAAUGCCGAAUUUUUGCGCAUCACUACCCUACAUUUAAAAUCGAGAAUUAUGGCCUCUUUGGACAGACAGAGCUCUUAGCUUCUCCAGGUUAUUAGGAGCAAAGGUGGAGUCCUCCAUGAAAAAACGUUCAAGUUAUGGAUCAGAGUCUGGACAUAUGCAUCAGAAUAGAUCAUGUACCUUGGUGAAGAUGCAAGCUGUCUGAUCAAAGAAUACCAGGCUGACCAGAGGGAGGAAGCGGAGAGAGAAUUUGAAAAGACCACCAUGGCAUUUUUUGUAAUCCGCGAAAGUGAUGCUCUUAGUUGUGCACUGGGCAUUUCCAUUGUCACUGACGGUGUGGAAGUACUAAAUGAGUUGCUCUCUGUUGCAUGUGCUUGUGCCUGUGCCAUAAUGUUUGGACACAUUUAUGCACUGAACUUAAAAUAUCCUGAAGGACUCAAAUAUACCUUUGAGGCCUUUCAAAAAAUAAUCAUGGACAUAGAGAGUAAGCAGAUGAGCCGAAGGGUGCAGAACCUCUCUUCAAAGCUGCAGGAGUACAUUUGUUUCCUUUGACCCAGCUACAGUGUUCUGCUGAUGGUAAAUUUCUUUGAAGAUGUUGGACUGUAUAAAGCCUUUUAUACAAAGUUAACCGUACUACUGUUUACUAAACCUGAUUUGUUUUAUCUAUAAGUUGUGUUAUCUAGGGUUUGUUAAAUAGUUUACCCAAAAAUGAAAAUUCUUUCUUUGUUUACUCAUCCUUAAGCUAUUCAAGUAUUUAACUUUAAUUAAAUUUGGUUCAGAGACAUUUUAUGACAAUUUUGAUAAGUUUGAGAUAAUUGAGAUAAGUUUCAUUUUGGGGUAAACUAUUCCAUGAAGGUGAAAAUAAUUUUUUGUAAUUUAUUUUUUUAUUUUUACCAUUGGCUAAUUUGGUAGGUAUUUUAUUAAAAGUGUUUGGUUUUACACUGCCCAUUUUAAACCAGUUUUCUAAGUGACUGUUCAUGGAAAGAUUGCAUGUUUCUCGUUGAAACGAUAACUGAUUCUUAUGGUGAAUCUACAUUUUAUCCAGUGUGUCUAUGUAUAUGGAUACUAAAAACUGUUAUACAGUAUGUUUUUAUAACAAUACUAUACACAUGGUAGAGAUUAUGAUAAAAAUUGUCAAGUUUAUGAUGUUUAUAUUGUUUAUUGGUAUGAGGAUACUGUACACAUUGUACAAAAAAUUGUAUUAUGAGAAAAUAAAUUGUCAGAAGUUUGA